GUGAACGCUGGCGGUAGGCCUAACACAUGCAAGUCGAACGGCAGCACCGUAAGAGCUUGCUCUUACGGGUGGCGAGUGGCGGACGGGUGAGGAAUACAUCGGAAUCUACUUUUUCGUGGGGGAUAACGUAGGGAAACUUACGCUAAUACCGCAUACGACCUACGGGUGAAAGCAGGGGAUCUUCGGACCUUGCGCGAUUGAAUGAGCCGAUGUCGGAUUAGCUAGUUGGCGGGGUAAAGGCCCACCAAGGCGACGAUCCGUAGCUGGUCUGAGAGGAUGAUCAGCCACACUGGAACUGAGGCACGGUCCAGACUCCUACGGGAGGCAGCAGUGGGGAAUAUUGGACAAUGGGCGCAAGCCUGAUCCAGCCAUACCGCGUGGGUGAAGAAGGCCUUCGGGUUGUAAAGCCCUUUUGUUGGGAAAGAAAAGCAGCAGGUUAAUACCCCGCUGUUCUGACGGUACCCAAAGAAUAAGCACCGGCUAACUUCGUG
rnacentral:rRNA from 1 species